CUCAACUGUUGAACUGCCUUUGAUACUGGUAGACUUGAGGAUAAGAGAAGAAAACGGAAUUCCUAGUGUAGCGGUGAAAUGCGUAGAUAUUAGGAAGAAUACCAAUGGCGAAAGCAGUUUUCUAACUUACUCCUGACGCUCAGGUACGAAAGCUAGGGUAGCAAACGGGAUUAGAUACCCCGGUAGUCCUAGCCGUAAACGAUGGAUACUAGGUGUUGGGGGUUCGACCCCCUCGGUGCCGCAGUUAACGCAUUAAGUAUCCCGCCUGGGGAUUACGACCGCAAGGUUGAAACUCAAAGGAAUUGACGGGGGCCCGCACAAGCGGUGGAGCAUGUGGUUUAAUUCGAUGCAACGCGGAGAACCUUACCAGAACUUGACAUCCCUGUGACUAUUCUUUAAUCAGAAGUUCCUCUUCGGAGGCAUA
rnacentral:rRNA from 1 species